GCUUUAUUCUCCACCGCUUUACCUUUACCAACCCUAUACUCAACACACAUCACUUUCUUCCAUCCUUCCAUCCGUCCUUCCGGAAAUCUCUCUAUUCCUCCGGUAUAGUCUACUAUCCACCGAAACCCACCGCCUCAUACUCCCUCCUUUCUACCUAAACACUUCCUCAACCAUGGUAACCACCCCCACCUCAUCCGGUAUAACCCACUGCCUCAUCUCGAUCCUUCCUCAUUUCACUAUUCCAGAAACCCAACGCCUCAUAACACUCUAUGAGUGUUUCCUCUUCUACCACUUCCUUGCUCUGCUCUAGAAAUCUCCAUUUAAUGUUCGUUGCCGCUCCCAAGCAUCGUCGUAUGAGGUUUUGCUCCGUCUAACUUUCAACGACUCGCCUACGACUUAUCUGUAUCUUCUCCUCCCACCUACCGACUCAUCGAUCUUCAAUAUCGGACUCAUCACAAUUGAGACCCAAAACCCUCUCACCACCACCGACCUAUACGCCGCUGCUCACGAUCGUCUCCACAGACUCACCCCGCUGCUUCUGCUCUGUCUUCAACCUUCUUCAUGUUUCCUCUUCUACCACUUCCUUGCUCCGCUCUAGAAAUCUCUAUUUAAUGUCUGUUGCCGCUCCCAAGCAUCGUCGUCUGAGGUUUUGCUCCGUCUAACUUUCAACGACUCGCCUACGACUUAUAUGUAUCUUCUCAUCCCACCUACCGACUCAUCGAUCUUCAACAUCGGACUCAUCACGGUUGAGACCCAAAACCCUCUCACCACCACUGACCUAUACGCCGCUGCUCACGAUCGUCUUCACCGACUCACCCCGCUGCUUCUGCUCAGUCUUCAACCUUCUUCAUGUUUCCUCUUCUACCACUUCCUUGCUCCGCUCUAGAAAUCUCCAUUUAAUGUCUGUUGCCGCUCCCAAGCAUCGUCGUCUGAGGUUUUGCUCCGUCUAACUUUCAACGACUCGCCUACGACUUAUCUGUAUCUUCUCCUCCCACCUACUGAAUCAUCGAUCUUCAACAUCGGACUCAUCACGGUUGAGACCCAAAACCCUCUCACCACCACCGACCUAUACGCCGCUGCUCACGAUCGUCUCCACCGACUCACCCCGCUGCUUCUGCUCAGUCUUCAACCUUCUUCAUUUUCAAACCGAGCGAAGCUUCCAUCUUCGUCUCGAGGUCGUUUUCCUACCCUUAUGUCGACUAGGCCUCUUCCUUUCGUUUUAGGGCUUUAGGAAGAGGGAAACGCUCAUUGGUGGCGGUGCGGACCAUCGCAGACAAUACUGAAAGAAAGCAAGGAUUUUUGUCAUUGAUGAGGUAAUUUAAAGUUUUUAAAUUUCUAUUGGUCCUUGGAAAACAAAUAACAGGACCAUUUGCUUCCAUACACGUAUACCCUCCAAAUUACCUACCCCGGCUCCAUCUGCUACGCUGAUUUCACUCGCAUCUGAAAGAAUCGGUAAGCUGAGGACCAUACCUGUUUCUUUAAAUGUUAACUAUUUUCCAGUUGUGUGUGAUUUUGCAGUAGGUGGUGUAUCUAUUCCUAUGAUGGUAGCGCGAUCCAUUGUUGUUACUGGUGUAGUUGGUAUGUUUGUUGGAUUUAGGGUUUACGAGUUCUUAUUCAGGUUUUCCAUGCUCCUGACUCCCACUAUUAAGACAAUAAGUAGGUGAUAGAACUUGGUGUAUGAGUACUUUCUUAAAAUGAAUGAGAUUGAGCUGAGAAGCAAAAAUACAUACGAAAAUUUGGUUUACCUUUAUAGAAGUGGAAAGAAUUACAUUUCAUGUUGAAAGUUGGUUUUUCAGAAAUGUAUUUGAUGUUUUUGACAGGUGUCAAUUGAAACUCAACUCAACUACUUAUUUUGGUGUUCUUAGGAUCAGAAGACUGAAACGUACAAGGAUAUAAUCAAAUCUGGAAGUGUAAGAGGUAACAUUUUGUUCUGAUGUUUAUGUGUAUAUAUGAUCAUUUUUUGUUGUAUCCUUCUGUUUUUUUUCAGGGGAAUUUAGAUUACAGGAGGUAGUUCGAUUGGUGUUGCCAUUAAAGCCCACACAUCACCACCAAAAAUCUUCUCAGGUUUUUUAUAACUCCUAGGGUUUAAUUUGAUUUAUAAUACGAUCUCAAUAUGUGAUCUCCGUGCUCUUCUGGAAGUAGAGGUAUGUGCUUCAUCUGUACAUAAAUAUGAUUAAUAAAAACAACAAUUCGUCUUUAGUCUUUAGAGCUAGGUUUUCUAAUCUGGUUGGAUUACAGAUUAGCCUGCCUACUGUAAGAUUUGUUAUAACUAUAAGUGAACAGGUUAUUGGCGUUGCUGUAAUUCGAGGAAUCAAAACAGAUCAUCAGUUGGUUAAAGUAUUUUUUUUUGUUUUUCUUCCAUAUUGAAGAAUAAAUUAUAACAUCUUCCUCUCCAAGGUUGAUGUAGCACCUGGUUCCUGGUACGUAUGACCUAUCUAAUUAUUUAAAUUUUUUAGCCUUGGACUCAGCGAGUUGUAGGCCCGACUCGCCGAGUAGAGCCGGGAUAUUGAGCACGUUUAAGUUGGCGACUCGGCGAGUCCACAUUCCGGACACGGCGAGUCCCCCCUGACUGGAUGAAACCCUAAUUUCAAGGGUUUGCACCCUAUUUAAAUCAACCUUAUGCACCCCAAGCCCGACUCCUUCACCCUCAGAGCACCCUAUAUUGACCUAACCCCCUUUUCUUGUGAGAUUGAAGUGUUUUGGUGUGAUUUCUUGAAGAUCUUGGUGAUUAUCUCAGAGAUUCCUUGAGCCGGAGGACUUCCGGAACAGCAGCAGCAACAGUAGACAGUCAGUUCUCGCUUAAAUCAGCAGCUACUUCGAGGUGAGUUACCUUCCAGUAGCGGUGGGUCUACGGCCACAAUGCCGGCCCACCAGUAGGAGUUGUAUGUUAGAUGAUUGUCUCUGUGAUAUUCAUCUAGAGUUGCUACUACCUGUGAUAUGUUUAUGUGCUAGUAUGAUAUGAUGCUAUGUGCUAGUGACAGUAGGGGAGAUAGUCCCCAGAUUACCGGUCAAUAGGGCCGAAGGGGCGGUCAUGCCCAACCAUGCUAGAUAGAUUAUGUGAUAUGUGUUAUGUGGUAGUAGUAAGGGUGAAAUAGUCCCCAGCAUCCGGUCGAGAGGACCGAAGGGAGAGACCAGCACCCAGAUAUGCUAGUCAGUAUCCGGUCGAGAGGACCGAAGGGGAGGCCAGCACCCAGAUAUGCUAGUCAAUAUCCGGUCGAGAGGACCAAAGGGGUAGGUCAGGCACCCAGAUAUGCCUGACAAUAUAAGUAUGUUAUGUGGUUAUAUGGUAUGUGGUACAGUGGGGGAACUCACUAAGCUUCGUGCUUACGGUUUUCAGUUUUUGUUUCAGGUACUUCUUCAGUCAAGGGGAAGGAGCUGGCGCGGUAGCGGCUCAUCACACACACGCUCUUUGUUUUCCGCACUACGAGUCAUUCUGGGAUUUGCACUCUGAUAUUAUUAUGUUUUACGUUUUGGUUUACGGUCACGAGACAUGUUUUAUUAAAUGUUAUGAGCACAUGAUAUUUUGUUACAAACGUUUUGCAAAUCACUUAAUUAAAAAUGAAAAUUUUGACCCGUAUUUUUGGGAUGUUACAAUUCAAAAACAUAUUACUGGAUUAGUACUGCUUUACAAAAAUUAUAAGUGAUUAACUUCUAAAUCUAAUGGAAGGAGGGGAAGCAAACGGUAUUGUAAUUGUUUCCCAAUUUUGUUCUACAUAAUUGAAACUACAGUGUUGUUAAUCAUUACAGACUCCUACACACGCUUCCCUCUCUAAUGUUGUUUGCUUCCCUCUCUAACACCGUAUUCCUACUAUCUGUACAUAUUCAUAUCAGGUAUAUGUUCAUUUAAUCUAUCAAUUCUGAUUUUCUUUAAUAUUUGUACUUUCACAUCCUUUUGCAACCAUUGGUUUUCUACAACCAUACUGAAGCAUAUGAAACUUUUGCUCAAAUUACGAUGCCAUUGAAAAUUGUAUUUUUGCUAUUGUCCUUGAAUCCACGUACCUCAAGGUUUUGUAAGAUGCACCAUGUUUUGCUAACAUGGACCAUGUUUCCUAAUGUGCAUAAUGUUUACCAAAUCAUGAAUUUUCAAAAAGAUUUAUGUUUACUUGAAUGCAGGCAAUAUCUACAUUGCGAGUUUAUAUGAAAUGAUUAGAGACUAUGGGCAGGCGGCUAGAGAUCUUAGAAGAUUCUUGUCUCUUCUCAUAUCUCAACUACACGAAAAUUCAAUUCUUAAUCAAUCCAAUAAGCUAAGAUUCCAGAAGGCAAUGGUUCAGGAUUUUUUUGGGAUGAAGAAGGGCAUAUUGUCACCAAUUACCAUGAAACUCGCCAAUUCGUCAUGCUGAAUAGUACCAUAUUCCUCCUAUUAGGUUGUUACAAAAACAUGAUAUGGAGUUUCCUGGACGGAGGAAGAACAUAUGACGUUUCUACUGGGGUAAAAGGAGCUGAUGCAAGUUGAUUGGUAAAUUGGUCAAAAGAUGAUUUUUUUUUGUUUUUUCGCAUCAAUACUACUUGAUCCAUUACCGCAAAUGUGUCUAUUGUUGAUUUGUAGGGUCUUCGUAUUGGUCAUAACCUAGCCUUAGCCAUUGGUUUAUUUAAUAUUCGAGAGGUAGGGUGUUGUUGCCGCACUUGCUAUUUACUUUGCAACACAAAGGGGUCAUUAUAUAAUAUCAUACUACAACAUAUUUGUAUAUUUGUAAAUGGGCGAAACGUAGACAAUAGCAACAUACUUUAUUAUAGCUACCAAUUAGAAACAAUGUACUAUACUUCCACACAAAAGCGACACCUUCCGAACCCCGCAACGCGGAGAUCACCUUUCUAGU